CGUGAUAUUGCUUUGUCAUAGAGGUUACCCACCGCGAUAUUAGCGUGCCACACCAAGGUGAAAAUUUUAUGCAGUUUUGUUUUUAUUCACUUACGGUGAGGGGAUUUUGGUCUUUUCACCUUUUUAAUGACUUUUAAAUAUAAAAUAGACCCAUUCCCAUUAGUUUUCAAAGAUCAAAUUCCUCUAUUUCACUCCCAAACAC
rnacentral:lncRNA from 1 species